rnacentral:lncRNA from 1 species
AUGGGAAAAUGAGGUCCCCCUCUUUGAGCAUCUGUGACUGCCGGGAAGCAGAUAGACCCUCUGCCUUCAAGAAAGAAGGGAGUCUUGCUGUCGCCCAGGCUGGAGUGCAGUGCCAUGAUCUCAGCUCACUGCAACCUGCACCUCCCAGGUUCAAGCGAUUCACUUAUUCCACACCUCUGAGGCCAGGGCAGACCAGACGUGGUGGUUCACACCUAUAAUCCCAGCACUUUGGGAGGUCGAGGUGGGAGGAUCGCCUGACUCCA